AGGACGAACGCUGGCGGCGUGCUUAACACAUGCAAGUCGAGCGACAGUGUUCUUCGGAACAUAUGGAGCGGCGAACGGGUGAGUAACACGUGGGCAACCUGCCCCUAGCUCUGGGAUAACUCCGGGAAACCGGGGCUAAUACCGGAUACGAUCUUCCAUGGCAUCUCGGAAGAUGGAAAGUUUUUCGGCUAGGGAUGGGCCCGCGGCCUAUCAGCUUGUUGGUGAGGUAACGGCCCACCAAGGCGACGACGGGUA
rnacentral:rRNA from 1 species